rnacentral:rRNA from 1 species
UACAUGUGGGGCAAGCGUUGUUCGGAAUUACUGGGCAUAAAGGGUGCGUAGGCGGCUUGUUAAGUCAGGGGUGAAAGUUUUCGGCCCAACCGGAAAAUUGCCUUUGAUACUGGCGAGCUGGAGUGCGUGAGGGGUGACCGGAACGAGUGGUGUAGCGGUGAAAUGCGUGGAUAUCACUCGGAAGGCCAACGGCGAAGGCAGGUCACUGGUGCGCAACUGACGCUGAGGCACGAAAGCGUGGGGAGCAAACAGG